CCCACGGGGACUUCGGUCCCUGAGGGAAAAGGUGGCCUCUGUAUACAAGCUAUCACUUCCAGAUGAGCCCGCGGCCCAUCAGCUAGUUGGCGGGGUAAUGGCCCACCAAGGCGACGACGGGUAGCUGGUCUGAGAGGACGAUCAGCCACACUGGAACUGAGACACGGUCCAGACUCCUACGGGAGGCAGCAGUGGGGAAUUUUGCGCAAUGGGCGAAAGCCUGACGCAGCAACGCCGCGUGUGUGAUGAAGGUCUUCGGAUUGUAAAGCACUUUCGACCGGGACGAAAACCCUGAAGCUAACAUCUUCAGGUUUGACGGUACCGGGAGAAGAAGCACCGGCUAACUCUGUGCCAGCAGCCGCGGUAAUACAGAGGGUGCAAGCGUUGUUCGGAAUUAUUGGGCGUAAAGCGCGUGUAGGCGGCUUUGCAAGUCGGGUGUGAAAGCCCUCAGCUUAACUGAGGAAGUGCGCCCGAAACUGCCGAGCUCGAGUGCCGGAGGGGAGAGUGGAAUUCCUGGUGUAGCGGUGAAAUGCGUAGAUAUCAGGAGGAAUACCGGUGGCGAAAGCGACUCUCUGGACGGUAACUGACGCUGAGGCACG
rnacentral:rRNA from 1 species